rnacentral:rRNA from 1 species
GAUGAACGCUGGCGGCGUGCCUAAUACAUGCAAGUCGAGCGAACAGACGAGGAGCUUGCUCCUCUGAUGUUAGCGGCGGACGGGUGAGUAACACGUGGAUAACCUACCUAUAAGACUGGGAUAACUUCGGGAAACCGGAGCUAAUACCGGAUAACAUGUUGAACCGCAUGGUUCAACAGUGAAAGACGGUCUUGCUGUCACUUAUAGAUGGAUCCGCGCCGCAUUAGCUAGUUGGUAAGGUAACGGCUUACCAAGGCAACGAUGCGUAGCCGACCUGAGAGGGUGAUCGGCCACACUGGAACUGAGACACGGUCCAGACUCCUACGGGAGGCAGCAGUAGGGAAUCUUCCGCAAUGGGCGAAAGCCUGACGGAGCAACGCCGCGUGAGUGAAGAAGGUCUUCGGAUCGUAAAGCUCUGUUAUUAGGGAAGAACAAAUGUGUAAGUAACUAUGCACGUCUUGACGGUACCUAAUCAGAAAGCCACGGCUAACUACGUG